GUUCACAUAGCUCAGCUGGCUAGAGCAAAGGACUGAUAAUCCUUCUGUCAGCG
rnacentral:tRNA from 1 species